GAUAAAUUUCCUUUCUUGAUUUAUACUUCAGAAGCCAAUGUUGGUUUAUUUCCACAAAUUGUGGAUUCUUUAGUAUGGAAUCUUAUCGUUCUUGAUUACACAUUAUUUGAUUUAUAAAACAGCUCGUUAUAUAUAUGUUUCAUAGUUACAAGUCUAUCACCAAAUCAGAGAUACAUAAAGCCAACAAAACAAACUCCAAGUCUUGUACAUCCAAGUCUCCAUAAGGCCAUGAGCUUCUGCUGCUUGGGGCAAUGGUAAAUACUUGUGAAUCACUGGUUUUACCUUCCCUGCUUUUAUCGCUGGCCAAACAUUCUUCUCGACUUCCGCAACAACAACAACUUUGUUUUCUAUGCUCUUUUGUCUCAACGCAGCUCCUGCAGAAAAAAAAUAUAUAAGAUGCCAAAUAUGAGAAUGGAUUAGUCUUCUCCACAGAAACAUAAUCAACAACGGCAAAACUAAACACACACAUUAUACAAAAACUCAUUAGAAACCAUAUACUAGUCACAGCCAGGCCUGAGUUUUAGUGGGCCACAAAAGAUUUUUUUAUUAUUUUAAAAAAGGCUGAUUUAUAUUUUUUUUUGACAUCUUUGGAUCGACAAGGCCCGAU
rnacentral:lncRNA from 1 species